GACGAACCGAGCGAACGUUGUUCGGAAUCACUGGGCUUAAAGGGCGCGUAGGCGGGUGCUCAAGUCCGGGGUGAAAUCCUCCAGCUCAACUGGAGAACUGCCUCGGAUACUGGGUGCCUCGAGUGUGGUAGGGGUGUGCGGAACUAUCGGUGGAGCGGUGAAAUGCGUUGAUAUCGAUAGGAACUCCGGUGGCGAAGGCGGCACACUGGACCACAACUGACGCUGAGGCGCGAAAGCCAGGGGAGGCAAACGGG
rnacentral:rRNA from 1 species